rnacentral:rRNA from 1 species
UACGUAGGGUGCAAGCGUUGUCCGGAAUUAUUGGGCGUAAAGAGCUCGUAGGCGGUUUGUCACGUCGGAUGUGAAAACCCGGGGCUUAACCCCGGGCCUGCAUUCGAUACGGGCUGACUAGAGUUCGGCAGGGGAGACUGGAAUUCCUGGUGUAGCGGUGAAAUGCGCAGAUAUCAGGAGGAACACCGGUGGCGAAGGCGGGUCUCUGGGCCGAUACUGACGCUGAGGAGCGAAAGCGUGGGGAGCAAACAGG